rfam:Triticum aestivum genome assembly, contig: Triticum_aestivum_CS42_TGACv1_scaffold_513483_6BS
CAACUACUCCCUCCAUCCCAAAUUACUUGUCGCUGAAAUGGAUGUAUCUAGAACUAAAAUACAUCUAGAUACAUCCAUACGUGCGACAAGUAAUUCGGAAGGAAGGGAGUACAUG